rnacentral:rRNA from 1 species
UACGUAGGGUGCAAGCGUUAAUCGGAAUUACUGGGCGUAAAGCGUGCGCAGGCGGUUGUGCAAGACCGAUGUGAAAUCCCCGGGCUCAACCUGGGAAUGGCAUUGGUGACUGUACGGCUAGAGUGUGUCAGAGGGGGGGUAGAAUUCCACGUGUAGCAGUGAAAUGCGUAGAGAUGUGGAGGAAUACCGAUGGCGAAGGCAGCCCCCUGGGAUAACACUGACGCUCAUGCACGAAAGCGUGGGGAGCAAACAGG